rnacentral:rRNA from 1 species
GACGAACGCUGGCGGCGUGCUUAACACAUGCAAGUCGAACGGAAAGGCCCCUUUGGGGGUACUCGAGUGGCGCACGGGGGAGUAAAACGUGAGUAACCUGCCCUUGACUUGGGGAUAACUUCAGGAAACUGGGGCUAAUACCGGAUAGGAAUCCUAGCGGCAUGGUGGGGGUUGGAAAGCUUCGGCGGUGUUGGAUGGACUCGCGGCGUAUCAGCUUGUUGGUGGGGUAGUGGCUUACCAAGGCUUUGACGGGUAGCCGGCCUGAGAGGGCGACCGGCCACAUUGGGACUUAGAUACGGCCCAGACUCCUACGGGUGGCAGCAGUGGGGAAUAUUGCUCAAUGGGCGGAAGCCUGAUGCAGCAACGCCGCGUGCGGUAUGACGGCCUUCGGGUUGUAAACCGCUUUCAGCAGGGGCGAAGCUUGUGGUGACGUUACCUGCAGAAGAAGCACCGGCUAACUACGUG